CUUGCUUCUCUUGAGAGCGGCGGACGGGUGAGUAAUGCCUAGGAAUCUGCCUGGUAGUGGGGGAUAACGUUCGGAAACGGACGCUAAUACCGCAUACGUCCUACGGGAGAAAGCAGGGGACCUUCGGGCCUUGCGCUAUCAGAUGAGCCUAGGUCGGAUUAGCUAGUUGGUGGGGUAAUGGCUCACCAAGGCGACGAUCCGUAACUGGUCUGAGAGGAUGAUCAGUCACACUGGAACUGAGACACGGUCCAGACUCCUACGGGAGGCAGCAGUGGGGAAUAUUGGACAAUGGGCGAAAGCCUGAUCCAGCCAUGCCGCGUGUGUGAAGAAGGUCUUCGGAUUGUAAAGCACUUUAAGUUGGGAGGAAGGGUUGUAGAUUAAUACUCUGCAAUUUUGACGUUACCGACAGAAUAAGCACCGGCUAACUCUGUGCCAGCAGCCGCGGUAAUACAGAGGGUGCAAGCGUUAAUCGGAAUUACUGGGCGUAAAGCGCGCGUAGGUGGUUUGUUAAGUUGGAUGUGAAAUCCCCGGGCUCAACCUGGGAACUGCAUUCAAAACUGACUGACUAGAGUAUGGUAGAGGGUGGUGGAAUUUCCUGUGUAGCGGUGAAAUGCGUAGAUAUAGGAAGGAACACCAGUGGCGAAGGCGACCACCUGGACUAAUACUGACACUGAGGUGCGAAAGCGUGGGGAGCAAACAGGAUUAGAUACCCUGGUAGUCCACGCCGUAACGAUGUCAACUA
rnacentral:rRNA from 1 species